rnacentral:rRNA from 1 species
AGAGUUGAUCUGGCUCAGACGAACGCUGGCGGCGUGCUUAACACAUGCAAGUCGUACGGGGUAUAGCAAUAUACCUAGUGGCGAACGGGUGAGUAACACGUGAGUAACCUGCCCUAUACAGGGGGACAACAGCUGGAAACGGCUGCUAAUACCGCAUAAGACCACAGCACCGCAUGGUGCAGGGGUAAAAGGCCACGGCCGGUAUAGGAUGGGCUCGCGCACUAUUAGCUAGUGUGAGAUAACAGCCCACCAAGGCUUCGAUAGUUAGCCGACCUGAGAGGGUGAUCGGCCACAUUGGAACUGAGACACGGUCCAGACUCCUACGGGAGGCAGCAGUGGGGAAUAUUGGGCAAUGGAGGAAACUCUGACCCAGCAACGCCCGCGUGAAGGAUGAAGGUUUUCGGAUUGUAAACUUCUGUUAUGAGAGAAAAAUAAAUGAUGGUAUCUCAUGAGUAAGCUCCGGCUAACUAUGUGCCAGCAGCGGC